rnacentral:rRNA from 1 species
UACGUAGGGGGCAAGCGUUGUCCGGAUUUAUUGGGCGUAAAGAGCGCGUAGGCGGCCAUCCAGGUCAGCUGUGAAAACUCGAGGCUCAACCUCGAGACGUCGGUUGAAACCGUUUGGCUAGAGUCCGGAAGAGGAGAGUGGAAUUCCCGGUGUAGCGGUGAAAUGCGCAGAUAUCGGGAAGAACACCAGUGGCGAAGGCGGCUCUCUGGGACGGUACUGACGCUGAGACGCGAAAGCGUGGGGAGCGAACAGG